UUUGUUUUUGUGUCUGAGGGCUCCCCUGGGGAACUCUGGUUCUUAUAUCUCCAGCCAGACAUGUCACUAGUUAAUCACACUUUUGGUAUCUACAAUGGCUGGAAUGAAUUCUCCUGAAGUUAGAAAUAAUUUUCGUCAACUAUGGGACUUAUCUUUGUUCUGAUAAGACAAGACACCUCCAAUCUCCCACCACACUAACAGCCUUGUGCAUCCUCCACAAGGUGCUUGUUGCCUGCAGGGGACUGAACUUUCCUCUCCCCACCAUCCUUACUUAAUUACCUAGAAACCUUUUUUUCUUGUUUAUUGACUAGAGGUUUCACGAGUUGGAUGAUCCAUUUCCUGGGAUGUGUUUGAAAGGACUACUGGGAAGACACCAACUCAAACCUCCACCUCCACUGAGCAGGAGCAGCAGAUGACAAAGUUGGAGAAACUCACCCUUCAGCUACAGAGUAUAACAUAUGAGCGAAUUGAACUGCAUGGAAUCCUGACCAGUUAUACAGAUAUGGAUUUGCAGAACAGGCUGAAUUCUUUUGGGAUGCAAAAAAAUGAGCAUAAGCAGGUGAUGUCGGCCUUGCAGAAAUUGCCCAUGUAAAUCAGUGAUGACGUGAACACGGUCAAACAGCUGAUUGAGGAGAAUGUAUCCUACAGUUACCUCCACAGCCAGGUCCUCCGAGAUUGGACUCAGCGGAAGGAGAGUGUACAUGUGCUGAGACUGAAGAACAGACAGCUGUGGAAGGAGCAGAUUGAACUGCAGGAGUCCUGUGAGGAGCUGAAGAGGCUCUUGAAGGAGGCCCAUGAGAUGAUCUGUGACCCUUCUGCUGAGCAGCAUCAGGAGCAAGAGAGCCUGGAUGAAAGACUGAAGGACCUGCUGAAGCAGAAGGAGCUGGUCACCCAGCAAGGGGACUUGGCAGAAUAGCUGCAACAUCACUUCAGUGUCUCUGAGAUGAGGUCAGAAAAUCUCCAGUCUGAGUUUGAACAGGCCACAGCCCAGGAUGAGAGCCUCCUGCAGACAGAGCUGCUGCAGCAGGAACACUAAGUCUCACAGGCAAGUGAGCCACCAUUGCAUCCCAUCCCCAGCAAACAUGGUGUUGGUGGGAGACUGGGGGCUCUUGACCUUGGCUUCCAGUGUGAAUAGGCCUUGAUUUUUUCUGGCCUGUGGCCCAGCCAGGCUGCUUCUGGUUCUGAUUGCCUUUCCUUUUCAUGUAGCAGAUCUUGGGAGAACUGAGGAGGCCAAAGAAACCACAGAUGCCUUGAACCUAUGACAUUCUAUACUCUGAGAUGAAGGCCUCCUCCUCAGAAGACACUCCUUUAGAGUUGUGAACUCACCAGUGAGGAGCAUACCAGCUGUCUUCCAGGUGAUCCAGCCCCAACAGAUCUAUUGGUCUGCUGACUUAGUCUUCUCAAAGAAAAGAAAGAAACCAAAAAUGAGCUUGAGACACUGAAAAUCUGAGCCAAGAUUUACUGAGAACCCUGACAUUCAAUAGCAAGUGGCCACUGUGAGGGGUACUACAACAUGAAGGGUAGAGAUGUUGGUGAGCAAGACUGUUUCUGUCGGUUUAAUGUUGAUGGCUUUGGCAAGCUGACUGAGUUCUCAGGCCUCCCUAUGUGGUGAAAUGUGUCAUGGAUGAUUGUGUUGAUGUCAAGCUGUUCCUGACAGACCACACCCAAAGGCAUCAUAUUUCAUUCUCCAGUUGAGUGUUGAAGUUGACACAAUGUCAUGCACCAGUGUUGCUGAAGAAAAUGCACCAAAGAGAUCUCCAGAGUCCAUCAUUCCUCGUAUUAGUCAUUUUCCCCUCCAUAUGUAAAAUGAGUGGGUAUUCUUCAGUUUCACAGCCUGGCCUGAAGUGACUGGUCCUGAGAAAGGAUUUACAGAAGACACCUGAGUCAUCUUUGAUGUUCAUGGGCACUCAGAGGCUGCCCAUGGAUUUGUUGGGUCUCCAGUAAGCAUAGAAUUGUCUGAAAGAAUCAAAUGAUGACCAAGACAUUACAGGAUCAGUAGUGGGUGAUAAUUUAUCAAAAGCUUCCCAAGGGGCACAAUGUUUGCUCUAGGAAAUGUCUCAUUGUUAGUCUCUGUGAGGACUUGGCCUACAAAGCCUGAAGGAGGCAUGGCUAUACUAGCUUUGAAAAGGCUUUUCACAAUCGUUGACUGCCUUCCUACCAUGUUUCCAAGGCCAGCCAGAGGCUGCAGGUCUGUGCUUUAAAUGUGUAGCAAGAGAAUGCUGCUGACCUUAAUUGUUUUUGUUUGGUUUUUGGUUGGGUUUUGUUUGCUUAGGUUUUUUGGGUUUUCUUUGUUAUAGAUUGAGCUUUUGCUAUUUAUUUGUUCUUUCAUUUGUUCUUGUUGUUUUUUGGGUAUUUUGAUAAGGAUAUUCACUGUUUAUGUUGACUGAUCUAUUUAAGCCCCUAUUUAGUAAAAUAACUGUAUUUUUAUUAAUAAUAAAGUGAUUUUGAACUCUUC